UACAGAGGGUGCGAGCGUUAAUCGGAAUGACUGGGCGUAAAGGGCGCGUAGGCGGUUAUGUAAGUGAGAUGUGAAAUCCCUGGGCUUAACCUAGGAAGGUCAUCUCAUACUGUAUAGCUAGAGUAUUGUAGAGGGUAGUGGAAUUUCCGGUGUAGCGGUGAAAUGCGUAGAGAUCGGAAGGAACACCAGUGGCGAAGGCGGCUACCUGGACAAAUACUGACGCUGAUGCGCGAGAGCGUGGGGAGCAAACAGG
rnacentral:rRNA from 1 species